GAUGAACGCUGGCGGCGUGCCUAAUACAUGCAAGUCGAGCGAACAGACGAGGAGCUUGCUCCUCUGACGUUAGCGGCGGACGGGUGAGUAACACGUGGAUAACCUACCUAUAAGACUGGGAUAACUUCGGGAAACCGGAGCUAAUACCGGAUAAUAUAUUGAACCGCAUGGUUCAAUAGUGAAAGACGGUUUUGCUGUCACUUAUAGAUGGAUCCGCGCCGCAUUAGCUAGUUGGUAAGGUAACGGCUUACCAAGGCGACGAUGCGUAGCCGACCUGAGAGGGUGAUCGGCCACACUGGAGCUGUGACACGGUCCAGACUCCUACGGGAGGCAGCAGUAGGGAAUCUUCCGCAAUGGGCGAAAGCCUGACGGAGCAACGCCGCGUGAGUGAUGAAGGUCUUCGGAUCGUAAAACUCUGUUAUUAGGGAAGAACAAAUGUGUAAGUAACUAUGCACGUCUUGACGGUACCUAAUCAGAAAGCCACGGCUAACUACGUG
rnacentral:rRNA from 1 species